GCUCUUGUCAAAAGCAGUGCACUGUACAGGGAACAGGCUGCCAUUUGGAAGGCGGGCCGAUGCGACACCAUUGGACCGGGCCAGUGUGCAGUCUGAGAGGGGAGAGAUGCCAGCGGAGAUCAGAGCAGCAGUCUGCCACAGUAUCUGUCAUCUGAUUGCUCCAAAAACUGAACAACUAACUUGCCGACUAAUAAUUAAGCAUUCCUCAAGAUCCACAUGAAUUUGUCUGGGAAAACAACAAAAAUGUAUCACGGAAUACUGCUCUGUGUCAGGUGAUGGAUGAAAUCCCACUUCCCAGUUAUUCCUGGGAGGGCGGCGGCGGAACCAGGGCUUCUGGACAUUUGGAAGGAUGGCCUUGGGAGACUUCUCAGAGGGAACAGGCGCCCUGCACCGAACAGCAGCUACCCCAAUGAAGAACAUGCCUCCCAGAUUCAUAUCGUGAAUAUCCAACUUGCUCAGAAUGGCUUCCGUUUUCAUGUUCUGCGGACAAAACGACGGUGACGAUCCUGGGGUCCGAGAGGGGAUCAAGAAACCUUGGGACAAAGUUGUGAUGAUAUUGUGAUGCAAUUAAUUUUCCACUUUUUAUAGUAAAAUUAACAUUAAAUUGGAAAAAAGAAAACUGAUAAAAUCUCUGUGUUGGGUAAACACUGGAAGGAGAUAUUUAAUAUUUUAAAUCUCAAAAUCUGACUAAAGCAAUUGCUGUGUCAUUAGACACGCCUAUCCAUUAUUCUUUCUGAAAUUGCACAAGCUUAUCAUUUCGAUUCUGUUUUAAUUCACUCUGACUUCCCAUUUUUUGUUUCCCAGCUAUGUUCGUCCACUCGGUUCCUUUCAUGUCUAUCGCACGCUAUGUAUCCACUCGGCGAAUGUAAAAAUAUACUUAAGAGAAUAAUUGUAUGACGUAACCU